rnacentral:rRNA from 1 species
UACGGGGGGUGCGAGCGUUGUCCGGAAUUACUGGGCGUAAAGGGCUCGUAGGUGGCCAACUAAGUCAGACGUGAAAUCCCUCGGCUUAACCGGGGAACUGCGUCUGAUACUGGAUGGCUUGAGUUCGGGAGAGGGAUGCGGAAUUCCAGGUGUAGCGGUGAAAUGCGUAGAUAUCUGGAGGAACACCGGUGGCGAAGGCGGCAUCCUGGACCGACACUGACACUGAGGAGCGAAAGCCAGGGGAGCAAACGGG